CCGGCUCACCCUUGGCCAAUUGGCGACGGCUGUGGGCGGUACCGCCCUGCUGGCGACCCGCCCCCAACUCCGAAACACGGCUUGCCAUUGGGAGAAGGCGCGUGACGCGAAGGCUGCAGGCCACGUGGCGGUGUUUUCACUGCCAGGGCGGCCGGGCAGAGCGGGAGGAGGGAAGGGCCAGGCAGCUGGGCCCGGCCUGCGGGCUCCGGUCCGGCGUCUGCGUCGCGGCCGCGGCAAAGCAGACCGGCGGGCGCGCUCGUUCCGACCCCACCCAGCCCCGUGUCCUGGGUAACACUCCGUCUACUAAACUUACAGUUUAGUAGAGAGCGUUGGACGCCAAAGCCCCACCCUCUCGUAGAGUCUUCAAGCUGCUUAGAAGACUGUUUCUAACAGGAGGAUGCUGAGGCCAGAUAGGGAUCUGCUACCACACUUGGCGGUUUAAGUCAGCCUCUAUCUACAGUUGACCGUGGUCUGACCUCACUCUCUGGAAUGCUCUGCCUGCCUCUGAUUUUCACGGCAUGUCAACAUGCACUCCGAUGGCAUUCCUGACGAUGGCAUUCCUGACGGGGGAUCUCUUUCUCCCGAGCUCUUGAAAGAAUCCUGCUUCAGCGACUCCCAGGGAAUGGUGGGAGAGGUGUUUUUUAAAAAGAGAUUUGUCACACACCAAGGACAGCAGUCAUUUACUUUGCACCCUUUUAUGCAUGGACUAUUUGCAUGAAGACAGCUGGAUUAUCAUAGCUGCUUCUGCAUUCAGCGUGUGGUGACAUCACAUAUCGUGUAGCCUUCAGCAAACCCCACUGUGCACUUAUGAGAGAACAAGAGUGAAAACGGAAACACUCUUGAAGCUCCGCGAUCAAGUCCGACGUAUUUAGUGAUUCAGUGAACAGCUGACUGAUCAGCAUGAGAGAAAAGAUCCUCUCAGGAACCAGCCAACUUUGCAAUCGAUUUCGCCUUCGUCAGGCUGACGUUGGGACUGGGCAGAGAAGACCCCGUGAGGUUUUGAAAUGUCUUCGUGAGUAUGGAGUCUUGGGACCGUCAGUGGCUUUCCAGGGGACUGUGCUGUGAAGGUCACUGGGCCGACGUCUGCUAUGAUGUCAGGAGAUGCACGCUCUUGAUUUUAAGAUGAUGCUUCUCUGUUUUCCUCUAUCUCUUCCUCUUCCUCUCUCCUCCCUUCCUUCCCCCCUUUCUCCUCUUCCUUCUCCUCUUUUUCUUUCUUCUUCUUUUAAAUAAGAGUUCCCCCUCCCUCUUCAUUUCUAAGGAUAAAUUAUGCUCACCGUGGAAAGCAACAACACGGUAUGGCUAUUGCUCCAGGAUACAGCUUGAGUUAGAAAUCUGGUCCCAUUGUUGACGAGCUGUCAGCUUGCAGAAGUCACUCAUCUGCUCCACCCCAGUUAUCCGGGUGUUAAUGGUGUACUCAGGCUAGUUACAGCCCAGAGCUGAUGUCAUAUGGAUUUCACCAGAUGUUCAUGUUCACACAUAUGUGCCAGGCACACAGCGAGAGCUCCAAAUAUUGUGCUAUUAAUUAAAAAUCCAAAAAACACAGACAACUAAAGCUACCUGUAAUUCGAUGGCUGGGAAAUACAUUUUACCUGCAGGUACACUUUUACCGUCUAAGGUUUUCAGAUGAAGGUCAGCCAAAUGAGUUAAUGAAUAUUUAUUUAGCCAGACACUCUGCUAUGUAGUUACAGCUUAGUCAACGUUCUCUGACUUUCUCCUGAGCUAAUCAUCUUUCUAGUAGUCACUCAUUCAUCACACUCUUUCAAAGGUAUUUUUAGCACUUUUUGUGUACCAGAUGCUACUCUAAGUAUUGGAGACACAACAGGGAUCAAAGCAAAAACUUGGCUCUGGUGAAACUUACA